GCCCUCCCUGUGUUCACAGCCUUUCUAAGUCCCGUGGAGUCUGUGACGUGGUGAUUUCUUUUGGUUCCUUUGCAGAAUUUAUCUGAUGUGAUGAAGAAACAUCGCUUUGGCUUCUCCUCCCCCUGUCAGAUGGCCAUCACCUUCCACAACCAGGGAGUCAUGGACAGAGCCCGCCGCGACCACAAUGACUUUCUGAAGAAGUCAGUGAGUGAUGGCAGAACGUUUCCCUCCUCUGAGAAGCUUGUAGUGCAGCGCAGGCAGUUGCUGGAGCGGUGCCGAAAGGAAAUGCUGCCGAAGACAGAGUCCCCGCUGAAUGCAGAGCUGAUGAAGGAGAAAGAGGCCCGGCUGAGGGAGCUGGAGGCAGAGCUGAUGUGGAUGGCUGAGUCCUUCAAGGCAACUAAUGAGAAGCACAAGAAGAUGGUGCUGAGAGUGGUCUACGCAGCUGCUCGUGCUGGGGUCUUCGCAGCUGCUGAUGCUGCUAGGGUCGUCAUAGCUGCUCAUGCUAGGGUCGUUGCAGCUGCUGAUGCUGGGCUCAUCGCAGCUGCUGAUGCUGGGCUCGUCGCAGCUGCUGGUGCUGCUAGGGUCGUCAUAGCUGCUCGUGCUGGGGUCAUUGCAGCUGCUGAUGCUGGGCUCGUCGCAGCUGCUGGUGCUGCUAGGGUUGUCAUAGCUGCUCGUGCUGGGGUCGUUGCAGCUGCUGAUGCUGGGCUCGUCGCAGCUGCUGGUGCUGGGGUCGUCGCAGCUGCUGGUGCUGGGGUCGUCGCAGCUGCUGGUGCUGGGGUCGUCGCAGCUGCUGGUGCUGCUGGGGUCAUCACAGCUGCUCGUGUUAGGGUCAUUGCUGGUGCUGGGGUCAUUGCAGCUGGUGGUACUGGGGUUGCAGCUGCUGGUGCUGGGCUCAUCAUAGCUGCUGAUGCUGGGCUCAUCGCAGCUGCUGGUACUGGGCUUGUCAUAGCUGCUGGUGCUGGGCUCGUCGCAGCUGCUAGGCUUUUCGCAGCUGCUCGUGCAGGAGUCGUCGCACCUGCUAGUGCUGGGCUACUCGCACCUGCUCGUGCAGAGGUCGUCGCACUUGCUGGUGCUGGGGUUGUCACACCUACUGGUGCUGGGGUCAUCGCACCUACUCGUGCAGAGGUCGUCGCACCUGCUCGUGCAGGAGUCGUCGCACCUGCUCAUGCAAGAGUCGUCACAUCUGCUGGUGCUGGGCUCGUCGCACCUGCUCGUGCAAGAGUCAUCGCACCUGCUGGUGCUGGGGUCAUUGCACCUGCUCGUGCAGAGGUCGUCGCACCUGCUCGUGCAGGAGUCGUCGCACCUGCUCAUGCAAGAGUCGUCACAUCUGCUGGUGCUGGGCUCGUCGCACCUGCUCGUGCAGGAGUCGUCGCACCUGCUGGUGCUGGGGUCAUUGCACCUGCUCGUGCAGGGGUCGUCGCACCUGCUCGUGCAGGAGUCGUCGCACCUGCUCGUGCAAGAGUCGUCGCAUCUGCUGGUGCUGGGCUCGUCGCACCUGCUCGUGCAGGAGUCGUCGCACCUGCUCGUGCAGGAGUCGUCGCAUCUGCUGGUGCUGGGCUCGUCGCACCUGCUCGUGCAGGAGUCGUCGCACCUGCUGGUGCUGGGGUCGUCACAGCUGCUGGUGCUAGGGUCGUUGCAGCUCUUGGUGCUGGGGUCACCGCGGCUACUCGUGCUAGGGUCACUGCGGCUACUCGUGCAGGAGUCGUCGCAGCUGCUGGUGCUGGGGUCAGCGCGGCUGCUCAUGCUGGAGUCACCGCGGCUACUCGUGCUAGGCUCAUCAUAGCUGUCAGUGUGGGGGUCAUCAUAGCUGUCUGGGCUAUUUUCAUCAAGUAUAACUGAGGGAACAGCUAUUGCUGCUGGUGCGGGCGGCAUAGCUGGGAUCUGGUCAGGCUUGGGUGAGGGGGAGAGGGACUCUAACCCCGAUAGCAAAGUUCGUUGUCUAACUGCGAGAGAGACAGGCAAUACCAGCAAGGUCCGAUCGAAAGCUCUUUAUUGACAAGUGCACGCAUCAAUAGAGAGCAGCUCGUCUCCGGAGAGAACCAGACUGCUCUUUAAAUCUUAGACUAAGCCUAUAUAGACAGUUCUGUCGCCUCAUAAAUUAUUCACUGGAGCAACCCACCCCCUUCUUCUAACAACUAGAAACUAGACACCUUUAGUAUACAGGCAUGCCUAAAGUUAGAAAUGUAGGGGAGUUAAAAACAAACAAAGAACAAAACCAGGGAGUGAAAACAAGGAGGCUGGGAAACUAGGGCUCUUAUCAGUUCUUCGAAGGAGCUGCCCGAACACAGCACAUCUGGUACUAUGCCAGGAAUGCAGCUUCUCUUAUCUCAUUUUUUCCCAGCGCUUGUGAGACAUGCUGCUGCUUCUCAGUGUUUUCCACUCAGGGAUUACCCACAAACCUCUGUUAGCCUGACUUUGGGCAGGUUGGCAUACCUGGUUUUGUCUGCUAUAUCUUUAUUCAGGCCUAACAUCCACAAACCACCCCAGAGUGGGGGAGUCGUCACCCACAGAUUCUAAGAAGGGACAUUGGUCCAACCCGCUCUUGAAACCCUCCAAUCCCUGUGUGACACCCAGGCCCAGCGCCACCCACCGGUGGAGGGUUCAGUGCCCAGUGUCAGCAACACCUAACAGGCCUGACAAACUUGCCGCACCUAACACACCGCUGUCACGGUAUUUAGCCAGUCCCUUCCAGUUCUAUGCGAUAGGUAUAUCUCCAUACGUUGUUAUAAACAGGUGUAAUCCUUCUUAGGCUUGCCCAGAAAUUACAGGCUAUUUGUACGCAAUACAGCCAGAUGGCUGCCCCACUGACCAAAAACAAACAGCCAAAUGCAGUUCAGUG
rnacentral:lncRNA from 1 species